GGGAGCGGCUCCGGGGCGGGGUCUGCGCACGCGCGCUGGGGCCGCUCUAGGACUUCGGGAAGACGUUGGAUUCUACGGUUGCUCUGCCGCUGCGCUGGGGACAGAGAAGGCGGGGCGGGUCUCAGGUGGCACCUCCUGUCUUUCCUCUCUUCGGUCCUUGACGCAGGAAUUGCGGAGAGGCCCCCCCCCCUUUUUUUUAGCAGAUUUUUUUUUUAAGAUUUUAUUUAUUUAUUUGACACAGAUAGAGACAGCCAGCGAGAGGGGGAACACAAGCAGGGGGAGUGGGAGAGGAAGAAGCAGGCUCAUAGCAGAGGAGCCUGAUGUGGGGCUCGAUCCCACAACGCUGGGAUCACGCCCUGAGCCGAAGGCAGACGCUUAACCGCUGUGCCACCCAGGCGCCCCCGGAGAGGCCCUUCUUUGCCAGGCGGGUCGUAGAUACACCGGUGACAAAACAGCCGCGUCCCUUACCUGCGGAUCGGAAAUCCCUGCACCUGUUCCAGCGUCGUGGAGGCUUGGCGCUCCUGAAGGUGGGGGGGCUCGGCCCGGUGGGAUGGGAGUGGCUGACGUGGGGUGGCUGGUGCUGGUGCUGGGACUGGGGGUGCCCCCCGAUAUGUGACGAGAUCGGAUUGGGUGGCCAGGGCCCGGCAGGCGGUGGAAGCAGGGGGCAGGAAAGGUGGGAGGACGGCGGAGGUUGCAGGGACAGAGCCCCGUGGUUGUUGGUGAGCCAGGUGGCAGAGGAAGGCUCAGGUAACAAGUCCUCAGAUUUUUCUGACUUGAGCGACUCGGCCCACCAGGGUCCUGAGAAGAAGAGCCCUCGGGGAGGGGUCUGGCGAGGAACCCAGCUCCGAGUGUGCAAUGCCUGGAGCUCACCCGCACACACGGAGACGCGAUCUGCGGUAGGCAGGAGAAUCUGGGUUGUGGGCAUAAAUGUGAGGGGUGGGUAUUGACGCCUCUGAUACCACUGGAACACACAGGUCACCCAAAAAGACUUGAAAGGGAAGAGGCCCUUGUGCCCCUGUGGCUUCUUAAGGUCUGAGCAUUUGAAGAAGGUGGCAUCCUGGGGUCUGAGAACUGUUGGGGUGUUCCUCAGUGGUAAGGGCCUUAAAGCCUAUGGGGCUGGUUCCGUAGAGACCCUCAUGGAGGGAGGCCAUCAGGACCCUAAUGUUGCUGAGGACUAUUGGGAUCGAUGGAGAAGGAGAAAACUGAACUUUACUUCUGGCAGAUAAAGUGGGCAUCUUUUGAGUGGUUGUGCAUGGCUGUGGUAGAAGAUGAAACCCACAGCAUGAGCUCAGAAGCUACAUGUCAGAGCCUGGGUCUCAUCACUGACUUAAGGAAAUGCUAUCUCCUCAGCACUCAGAACUCACUUUGGGCCUUAACCUGGUAAAAUGCACUGAUGAUGAUGACAGUACCGGCCAUCCACUGAGCACCUGCUAGGUGCCAGGUGGUGCCAAGCACCCUACAUGCACCAGGUAGAUAUUAACAUCACCAUUUACAGGUAAGAAGACUGAGGUUGAGGGGUUACACAAAUGAUCCGUGAUUAUAUAAGUGAACCCACAUCUGUCUGUCCACCCCCCAAAGCCCCAGAUUUUCAUAAUGCGUAUAGUUGGUCAUCUGUGCAGACAGAACAAGAGAUUGCGGGUGUGUUACUAAAUAGUUUGGAGUCACUCUAAACUUUCUUCAACCCUAAACUUAUUGCCCAAGAGGACAAGAGAAUGUAAUUUUAAUUUAGUAAGUGGAAGCCUGAUCACUCAUCAGAGAAAGUCUGAGGAAACCUAUAUUCAGCUUAGAUUCCACACCUCAGAGGAAAGAAAAGGGACACAUAAAGAGCCAGACAUGGGCAGACACCAUCCAAGCUCUGUCCCAGGGCAGCUGUGGCUGGGGAGUAACAGCAGUGACCACACAUGUGACUUGAUCCUUAUUGUGGAGAUGAAGCCACACUGUCCAUGCUCAGAGCCCCUGAGAGUUGAACCCUCAGACCCACUUGCCAAGUUCUGACUCCCUGCUUCCCUGGAACCUUGUGUACAAAGAAGGAUGCAAUCCUAGUGGCAACACUGGCGCUGCAGACACCCGACAGGCUCCAGCAGGACCCACAUUCGUGUCCUAGUUGUCUGCUCUUCUAUGUCUGCUUCCUGGAAUACAGGAGGCGUCUCAGCACAGGAAUGAACCAGUCUGCAGAGCUGAGGAGCCGGCCUGGGCUGGUGAGCAUGUCUCUGGAUGGCCUCCCUACUGGCUUUCCAUGCUCCUGACCAGACAUAGACCCCACUCAGCCCCAACCUGGAUGAGAUCUUUACUCUCAAGUCCCACGAGAAGGAAACAGAGCAUGAGGUUUGGGUAAUCAGGAAAUUGAUUUACAAUGUCUGAGUAAGCCUCCAUAUUACGCUUGGGUGGCAGGUGAGAUGAGCCACACAGAGUACCUCCCAAGACGCCUUCACACCCCACAUUCCUAUGCAGCCUGAAUAUGAACUCUGAAACCCUCUGUGGGCAAUGCCUCCCUCCUUCUCAAAAACAUCCCGAGGCCCCCCAGCUUCUAGGACUGAAUCCACACUCUCCAGGAGAGCCUGGAAGGCCAGGCCCUGCCCCACUUCCCAGUCACAUUCCCAUCUUGCCAGCAUCUGGGAAAACAGGAUUCUUUCCACCUUUCGUCUCUUCAUGUGCUACUUCCGCCUUCUUAUGCCAUCAUCCUACCUGUUCUCCAAAGCCUGGUUCCAGUUCUUCCUCAUUAAGCCUUCCUGACUACAGCCACUAUUCCCACUGUGCUCCUGUGGUACACACGGCAGGACAGAUGGUGGGGAGAAAGCAAGCCCGUCAUCAGUGACCUAAGGAAGUGCCUGUUUGUGACAACAUCUACUUCUCCUGUCCCUGUGAGGAGCCUGGAAUUGAGGGCAAGACUCAGAAAUCCCCCCACCUCCUUCCUUUUUGACAAGUGUAAGGCAACAGCUUGCUCUUUCCACCAAGGACUGGGCGUGUGGAGCCCUUGAGCACGUGUGAUGUGGGCCUGUUUGCUCUCAUUGGGCUCCUCAAGAGGAGGCCCCUGAAGACAGGCGCACUUGGGUCAGUCUGUGCCACUGUCUGGUGGCAAAGGAGGGCUGGUCACAUGCAUUUCACAGCCAGGUGCCUCUCCAAAGGCUUUCCUCCUUUCUCCUAGGAUUGGGCCUAAAGGAGGAAAUCUAAUCUGAAACUACAUUUUCUCAGGGCACCUAGCUGGCUCAGUUCGAAGAGCAUGCGACGCUUGAUUUUGGGGUCGUGAGUUCGAGCCCCAUGGUGGGGGUAGAGAUUACUUAAAUAAAUAGAUAUAUAAACAACAACAACAAAAAAAGAAACUAUUUUUUCUCUCAUUAAACUUUGUCUUAAUGGGUCUCAAAAUUCUGUGACAGAUUUUUGGUCAAGUUGUUUCAACUAAAAAGUACUGGAAAAAAAAAAAGAUCCACAAAGCAUUCUCCUUUCCUUCUUAAGGUUUUACGAAUCAUUGUAAUUAUGAACCAGUCUUUUACUAUUCAACUUAAAUGGCCAAUUGUGGCAGUUCUGAGACAUUCUUCCACCACUGGUUAAGGAUGGAUUUGCAGGUAUUAGGGACAAUAUUUCUUUAGCCUACUCUGCUUUCUGAGAAGACUGGGCGACCUUGCCAGCUCCAGCAGCCUUCUUGUCCACUGCUUUGAUGACACCCAAAGCAACUGUCUGUUUCAUGUCAAGAAUGGCAAAACAACCUGGAGCCGGAUAGAGAAGUUCUCAACACACAGGGGUUGCCAGGAACCAUAUCAGUGAUGGCAGCAUUAGCAGAUUUCAAGAAUUUGGAGUAAUCUUCCAUCUUUUUCCCAGAAUGGUGAUCCGUCUUCUUCAACUCAGCAAACCUGCUGGCGGUGAUCUGUGUGACAGCCCUGCACAAGUGCAUCGGCAGCACUGAUUUGGCCCAGAUGGUUUCAGGAUUGCUACCUGAGCCAUGAAGCCUGCUGCUUCCAUUGCUGGAUCAUGUCAGCUGUCCCCAGCCAUACUGCCACGGUGAACAUCUUUGGGACGCAGGUUCUUGACAUGGAAGCCCACACUGUCUGCAGGAAGAGCUUCACACAAAGCCUCAUGGUGCAAUUCCACAGACUUAACUUCAGUCAUAACAUUGACUGGAGAAAAGGUCGCCACCAUGCCAGGUUUGAGAACACCAGUCUCCACUCAACUCACAGGGAGAGUACCAAUACACCAAUUUUUUAACAUCCUGGAGGGGCAGACACAGGCCUUGUCGGUUGGACAAGUUGGUGGUAGAUGCAGUCCUGAGCUUCAAGCAAUGUGGUUCCACUGGCAUUGCCAUUUUUAUAGGUGACUUUCUAUCUCUUCUGGCUGUAGGGUGGCUCAGCGAAAUCCAUUACGUAAACAGCAACAAUUAGUUGUUUCAUACCCUGCGUCUAAACCAGAAGGACGUGCUCAUAGGUCUGUCCAUUCUUGGAGAUACUUGUUUCAAAUUCAUCACCAGCAGCAGCCACAGUCAGGAAGCACAGUCAGCCUGAGAUGUGCCUGACAUCAUGUUUUUGGUAAAGUCUCUGUCCUGGGCGAUCAGUGAUGGUCAUGUAAUACUUGCUGGUUUCAAGUUUCCAGAGGGAGAUAUCCAUGGUGAUACCACACUCUCAUUCAGACUUCAGUUUGUCUGAGACCCAGGCAUCCUCAGCCCUUUCCCAUCUCAGCAGACUCAGAUUUUUGAUGGUUCUUUUGUUGAUCAGAUCACAUUUGUAAAUCAGAUGGCCAAGAGCAGUGGACUUGCCUAAAGCUACAUAUGCAAAGACAACAAUUUUGAUAGGAGUCUUUUCUUUUCCCAUUUUGGCUUGGAUUUAGGAAUGGUUUUCAUGAUGCCUGUGUUCUGGGAGCAAACUCAUUGCAGAAAAAGUUGGAAACAUUUCAACGAUCGUGUUGUACAACCAACCGUUUAGUUAUAUCUAUAGUUUGAAGUACUUUAAUGACCUUAUUGUAUAUAUCAUUUAAUUCACCUUAUUUUUGGGAGGUGCUUAUUUUGGGAGGCUUGAUUUAGAAUGAAGUGUUCACUGCGGCCAGUACUUCCAUUGGUUCACUCUGACGAAAACUCAGGUGCUACAUGGAGGUGGGGUUGACACCCGUUCUACAUGCUUUGAGGUUUAAGAAACUUAGGAUAGAAAUGUAGAAAACUGUCCUGGUCCUCAUGUAGGUUUCAUGAAGACCCUGAGUCAUUGCUCAUCAUUAUUCAGGAUGAAAAAGCAGCUCCAGGGACCCAACACUAACUCUAGCAAUUUUGCCCUUUUCUAUGAAUCCACUUGGAGACUUUUUUCUCUGCCUGCUUUUCUCUGCACAUUGUAUUCUGCUCUUUGGGAUUAACCACAUCAUAGAUCACUAGCCUCCCCUAGAGACGGUGUGAAAAUUAGUUAAAAGGAAAUCUCACUUAGAAUGGAGUCCGGCGGCCAGCAGGGGGAGCGCUCCUGUCAAUUACACACCCAACAGGGACCUUCCAAGCGGCUACUGCUUUAGCUACCACUUGACUGCCCUGCCGGGGAAGGAGGAGGGUUUCCUGCUCCCUGGCAGCAGUGGAGCCAAGGAGGACAAGCCACUACACUUCCAGCUCCCAGUUUACUCCCGGACUUCUAAUUGACAGCAGCGCCCAGCUCCCCCUUUCCUCUGUAAAAGAGCUCUGCUCUCCUUUGCUCUGCAGACCUGCCUGUGGAUUUGCCAGAGCUCGCUCGUUCCAGGUUGCAAUUCCCUGCUGUUCCCGAAUAAACCCAUUUUCGCUGGUAAAAUAACUGGCAGUUUUAUUUCUAAGGUUAACAUGGGAAUAAGGCUAUCUUUUUCUCCAUCCCACACCCUGGUCUAAAGGCAAAAGGCCACUUAUAGAGCAUUGCCCUCCAUGGAUGAGAAUUGUUGGGCAGUUUGUUCAAAGGGAGUGACUGGCAAUGGUGGGCGCCCAGAGUUUCACCUUCUGCCCACAACACCAAACCUCUCUUGAAAACAAAACAAAACAAAACAAAGACAAGAAAAGCCCCUCCUAUCCAUCACAUCCUCUGUGAAGUAUCUGGUUGCAAAUAAGGUGUGAGUUCCAAGUAAAUGCUUUGCCGGCAUUCAUUACAUCCAUAGAGUUCUCUCCAAUAGGAACUCUCAGAUGUUGUAUAACAAGCAACAGUGAAAGGCUUUCCCACCUUUGUUGUAUUCCUGGAUGUGUCUUCUUCCUGUGUGAAGCGUUUCCCUCUAGGAGGGAAUCAUGUGGUAGUGCCUGAAGCCAACUCACACUGAGAGCUUGACACAUUUAUUGAAUUCACAUGUAUUCUCCAUGGUAUGAAUGACCUGAUAUCUAAUAAGUACUGAGCUCUGACUGAAGGAUUUCCCACAUUCGCUACAUUCACUUCUCUCCAGAGUGUGUUGUGUGCUGGUGAAUCAAGUGUAACAUCUGAACAAAGCCUCUCCUGCACUUGGUACACACAAGGGUUCUCUCCAGUGUGUUCUUUGAUGAUUGACCAGUAUGUUUGACCAAACACACCUAUCACACUUACAGGGCUUCCCUUCAGAAUGUAUACUCUGAUGGUGAAUCAAGUGUGGUGGCUGACUGAAGCAUUUCCCACACUGUUUACAUUCAGGUGUUCUCUCUUGUAUGAAUUCUCUGAUGUUUAACAAGCUUUGGUGUCUCUCUAAACCCCUUGUCACGUUGAUUACAGUUUCUCUUCACUGUGAAUUUUCUGAUGUUGUAUGAAGAUUGAGUCUUGAUUAAUUUUUCCCCAUACUCCAUACAUAUGUAGGCUUCUUCCUAGUAUGAAUUUUCUGGUGUUGAGUAGGAUGUGAGUACUUGCUGCAAGACUUCCCACACAGAUUACAUCCACUGAACCCUAACCCACUGGGACCUGUUUGGUGUGCGUUCUGGAUUGAAUCACAUGGAAAGCAUCUGCCACGUAUCCUCUAUUGACCAGCUCCCUCUCCUGCUGGGUCCCUCUGAGGUGCAACAGCUGGACCUGAGACUCCGAGGGCAGGUGCUUUCUCAUACUGGUCUCUGCAGCGUCUCAGUGACACUGCACAAAGCAGGUGCUGACUCCAAAGAAGCACACGAAUGCGUCACACAGACGUUCGCGGAGGGCCUUCCACGUGCCAGGCACUGCUCAGUGCUGGGAUUUGGUGAUGGCUGAAGACCUUGCCCCCUGGAACCGACAUGCUAAUGAGGAGACUGACAAUAAGCAAAUAAAUAUAUGGCAGCAGAUCAGGCUACACAGUUUGUCUGCCAAGUUUUUUCAAAUCGUCACAAAUCUCCAAAAAAUUUUCUAAUACAUCUAUUGAAAAAAAAUCCACGUAUAAGUAGACUCACACAGUUCAAGCCCAUGUUGUUUGGGGGUCAACUGUAAACAUUGUGAAACUGAAUAAAGGAGACUCUGUUAAGAUGCGUUGGGAGGCCAGCAGAGGGAGCUCACCACUACUCGCCUGGAGACCCAACAGAAAAGAGAUUGUACCUUGCAAGUAGAUAUGACUUUGUACCCCCUUUCCUCUAUAAAAGAGCUUUGCUCUCCUUUGCUCUGCGGACUUGCCUAUAGUUUUGCUUUAGCUUGCUUAAUCUGAAUUACAGUUCUCUGCUGUUACUAAAUAAACCUAUUUU